ensembl:lncRNA
GCCACUUAAUGUUUUCAAAAGAAGUGUCUAAUGCUCACCAAGGCUGCAUUUAUUUGAUAAAAAAAUCCAGUAAAAACUAUUAUAUAGUGAAAUAUUAUUACAAUUUCAAAUAACUGUUAACUAUUUAAAUAUAUACUAAAAUGUAAUUUAUUUUUGUGACGCUGAAUUUUCAACAUAAUUAUUCCAGUCUUCAGUGACACGUGAUCCUUCAGAAAUAUAUGCAACUUUUUUCUUCUUUCCAAAACAUUAAGAAAUCUUAAUUAUUCCAGACUUUUUAUCAGUAGUGGGCAUUGUACUUCCCAUCAAAUUAGUAAAAGUUAACUUAUUUCAAUAAAAAAAAAAAAUUGGUUGUAAAAUUAUAAAUAUUCCUAAACUCACCUUGAAUUAAUUUAAAUGUGCUGUAAGGAAUAAGAACGUACUAUUUUAAGUUGCAAAGUCUUUUGUGGAUUCACACACACACAGUGGCACCUCAUGACUUUAUUGUCUCCUUCAUGUGUGAUCUGUUGGAGGGCUGUUCAUUUGCAUCGCCCAGGGCAAAGUUUCCCUCUGGCAGUGAUCCGUGGACCUGGCUGGGCCGCUCACCUCAGUGUGAUGAAAACUGCUGCUUCUCCCACAGACACUGGUAGACGGAGUUCAGCCCUGACAGCUCCCAUACAACACAGAGAGAGGGACCGCUGUUCAAUUAGCUCCUUCAAAUACAAUCACAGAAGUGACAUCACUUUGGUGGCAAAGUGGUCAAGCAUCAGCAAGUGUUAGCAAUGGAUUUAAUGAAUUCUAUGAGUUAAAGUUUGGACUCAUGUUUAAUUUUUUACAAUAAUUUCAUCACUUUGAUUUUAGGCUUUUUAGUGUUUUGUAAAAUCACAUAACUAACAAAAGCCUUUAUGAUAUCAUCUUCCAGGAAGUGACAUUAUUUUGGUGGCAAAUCAACAGCAGAAGCAUCAGGAAGUGUUACCAAUGGAUUUAUUACCAGAAUUCUGUGAGUUUGUGUGCUUUCAUACUGUAGAAAUACUUGGUUGAACACAAACAUAUUCAUUUUAAUUUUAAAUUACAGAAUUUUAAAGGUGCUGCAUAACAAGAAUAACCCAGUUAUCAUUGUCAUUUUAAACUGCAGAGCAUUAUUUAUGCAUAUUAUAUUAUAUUAUAUUAUAUUAUAUUAUAUUAUAUUAUAUUAUAUUAUAUUAUAUUAUAUUAUAUUAUAUUAUAUUAUAUUAUAUUAUAAAAUUUUCUGAAAUCAGUGGCAGUUCUGUCCAUGUUCAUGUGUGCAAUUUCUCAUAAAACUGAUAAUGUUUGAAUGGAACGCUUGGACAAAUAAAAACCUGUUUCAAAUGCA